rnacentral:rRNA from 1 species
GGGUUGUGAGGUUAAGCGACUAAGCGUACACGGUGGAUGCCCUGGCAGUCAGAGGCGAUGAAGGACGUGCUAAUCUGCGAUAAGCGUCGGUGAGGUGAUAUGAACCGUUAUAACCGGCGAUUUCCGAAUGGGGAAACCCAGUGUGUUUCGACACACUAUCAUUAACUGAAUCCAUAGGUUAAUGAGGCGAACCGGGGGAACUGAAACAUCUAAGUACCCCGAGGAAAAGAAAUCAACCGAGAUUCCCCCAGUAGCGGCGAGCGAACGGGGAGGAGCCCAGAGCCUGAAUCAGUGUGUGUGUUAGUGGAAGCGUCUGGAAAGGCGCGCGAUACAGGGUGACAGCCCCGUACACAAAAAUGCACAUACUGUGAGCUCGAUGAGUAGGGCGGGACACGUGGUAUCCUGUCUGAAUAUGGGGGGACCAUCCUCCAAGGCUAAAUACUCCUGACUGACCGAUAGUGAACCAGUACCGUGAGGGAAAGGCGAAAAGAACCCCGGCGAGGGGAGUGAAAAAGAACCUGAAACCGUGUACGUACAAGCAGUGGGAGCCUCUUAAUGGGGUGACUGCGUACCUUUUGUAUAAUGGGUCAGCGACUUAUAUUCUGUAGCAAGGUUAACCGAAUAGGGGAGCCGAAGGGAAACCGAGUCUUAACUGGGCGUUAAGUUGCAGGGUAUAGACCCGAAACCCGGUGAUCUAGCCAUGGGCAGGUUGAAGGUUGGGUAACACUAACUGGAGGACCGAACCGACUAAUGUUGAAAAAUUAGCGGAUGACUUGUGGCUGGGGGUGAAAGGCCAAUCAAACCGGGAGAUAGCUGGUUCUCCCCGAAAGCUAUUUAGGUAGCGCCUCGUGAAUUCAUCUCCGGGGGUAGAGCACUGUUUCGGCAAGGGGGUCAUCCCGACUUACCAACCCGAUGC